GACAGAGGAUGCAAACGUUGCUCGGAAUUACUGGGCGUAAAGCGCGUGUAGGCGGUCUGGUAAGUCGGACGUGAAAUCCCGGGGCUCAACCCCGGAAGUGCGCUCGAUACUGCCGGACUUGGGUUCUGAAGAGGAGAGCGGAAUUCCCGGUGUAGAGGUGAAAUUCGUAGAUAUCGGGAGGAACACCAGUGGCGAAGGCG
rnacentral:rRNA from 1 species